rnacentral:rRNA from 1 species
ACUGAGCUUUCUCGCCAAAUGACGACUUCUACCACAUCUAUUGACAUUAUGGGUCUGCAAGCUGCUUAUGCUAAUUUGCAUACUAACCAAGAACGUGAUUACUUCAUGCAGCGUUACCAUGAUGUUAUUUCUUCAUUUGGAGGUAAAACCUCUUAUGAAGAAAUAACAUCAUGGUAACGCUGCAUGAAGUAAUCACGUUCUUGGUCAGUAUGCAAA